UCAGAAAAUAAUAUAAAUAGUAUAUAAAUUUUGGAGAUUUAAAGAGAGUUAAUUCUUUUCUGAU
rnacentral:tRNA from 1 species